AUUUCUUCUCGCUCUCGUAGUACUCCAGCCGGGCGCCCCCCGCCUCCUCCCCACCGCCCGGACCCCGCAGCACGAAGAAGCGCUUGUGGCCGUGCUUCUGCUUGCGCAGGGAGAGCGCGGCUGCCCGGAGCCGCAGCGGGGUCCUCCGCCGUCGCCUCUAGGCAGCGGGCGCUGCCGGCGGCCGCCCGGCGUCCUCCCCGGCUCGGGUACCGGCGGCUGCGCCGCUGCCGCUCCCCGGCCGCUGCUGCUGCUGCUGGUGGUGCUGCUGCCGCUGCUGGUGCCGCCGCGGCUGCUGCCGGCGCCGGCGGGAGUUUCGCCGUAAGUAACACAUCGCGCACCGAGUGCCCCAACUAAAGAGCAAAACAACACGUGACCGCCGCCUUACCGAGACGCUCACACACCGAGACGGGGCGGGGCGCGGCCGCCGCCGGCGCCGCCCCGCAUUGGCCACUGCGCCGCGCGAAGGACGGCUCCGCCCGCCAAUGGGACGGCGGGGCGGGCCCUGGGGUGCGAGGCGGCGCGGCGCCGUUGGGCGGCGGGAGCCUCACCCCCCCCCCCUCCCGCCCCUCCGCGGCGGGCGCGUUCCCGCCCACAGCCUCCUGCCCCCCUCAGGCGCGGCGGGACCCGCCUGCCGCCCCCCCCCCCUCCGCCUCAGCGCACACAGCGCGGAGUGCGCCGGGGCCGCGGGCACGGCGGGGAAAGCCGGUGCGGCCAUCGAGCCCCCGCUGCUGUCCCUCGCCAUCCAUCGUAGCCCCGGCGGGCGGCACGCCGGGGGCGGGGAGGGGGGGGCGCACCGGCGUAGCUCGCCGCCGCCGCCGCCAUCAGGUGCUGCCGACCCGCCCGCCGCGGGCCCCUCGCCCCCGGAGCGGAGCGGAGCUUCCGGGCGCGCGUCUGCGCGCGCCCCCCCCCCCCCGCACUCCCCCACACACGCGUGUGUGCGUCAGCCCUCCUCGCACAUGCACGCACGGCGGCUCCCAGCCGCCCCCCCCCCCCCGCCGUUCCCGCGCUCCUCCACCCGGUGUGUCAGCCCGUGGCCGCCCCCACCUCACCCGCCUCCAUUCCGCUCCCCCCCCCCCCGAAGGACUCGGGGAGUCGCCGCUCCCCACCGGGCCCGGCUGCUCCCGCCCCCCCCCCCUCCGGCAGCGGCUAUUUACGCGCGGCGAGGAGAUGCCACCUAGGGAGGACCGCACUGUUACUGGGUUUUAAUUAAAUAAAUUAAUUUAUCCGGGCGUUCUGCGUUAGCGGUGAA